UGAGGCCUGCCCUUUACUAUAUUCUUAAACAUUGUUCUGACCUUCAAAUAAUUUGUGCUUAUUGAAGGAAAACUGGAACAUACAGAGAAUUAAAGGGUGUAUAUUCCUAGAGGCAAGACCUUCAAGCGUGGAUCUGGAAGAUACUACACAACACCAUGUCUCCCCAAAGUGAGAACUUGACUUUGUGGUCAUUCGGUUCACCCUGACCCAAACCACACCCCAGGACAGGGCUCCAGUCCUGGUUUCUGAACCCUGGUGCCCAGAGGAAAACAUUGCAAACACUUCUGCUGCAGACACCAUCCCCAACACUGCAGGCACCAAGUAGGAACACCACAGCCCUGGGGUCACAGCCCUGGACCGGAGGGGCGGGCUCCCACAGCGUAUUCGAUCACCAGAAGGGACAAAAGCCAUCCACUCGGCUUUUCAUCUCUUCACAGCUUUUUGACAUUUCCAAAGCCACACCUUACUUGCUGGUUUUCUUUUGUGAGAGAGAAGACACACAGGCUGAGCACCACAGCCAGCGAGCACGUUUCCAGAAGGCUGCCUAGGUUCGAGGCGGGCGGGAGCAAAGUGCUCAACGUUUCUGAAAUCCCUCUGGGCGUGUCACGUGGAGCCCACUGCUGGCACAGCCGAGCCUGCUGAAGCUCUCAGAGCUCUUCAGGGCCACUGAGGAAAAAAAUGACCAGAGGAGGUAGCAUAAAAGCGGCAUAAAUUGUUCAGCUGAGGUCAUGGUCGUGGGCAGGAGUCUGAGGUCCUGACGUUAAGACAAAAAUUGAGAACACACGGUUGGGAAUGAUGAAUGUCGUACUUACUGUAAGGAAGGGAAAGAAGCCAUAUUUUGUCAGGGCCUGGGAGUGGAAAGGGGUGUUCAGAGGAGCACUUGUGAGAGAGAAGGUAUUUGAUCUGCACCUUGAGAUGUGGUUACGAUUUAGCUAUGCAGAGACCGGAAAUGGAGAGAAGGAAGCAGGGGCCUACAAACACGUGGCCUGCCACCACUGAGCCAGCAUACCACUUUCCCUCCAAGUAUUGACCAUGUGAUACGAGCAGAAAUACACAUUAAAUAUUAUUAGUA